rnacentral:rRNA from 1 species
GCUUGUCUCAAAGAUUAAGCCAUGCAGGUCUAAGUCCAUGCCGCAUUAAGGUGAGACCGCGAAUGGCUCAUUAUAUCAGUUAUGGUUCCUUAGAUCUUCGGUUACACUUGGAUAACCCUGGUAAUUCUAGAGCUAAUACAUGCAUCCCAACACCGACCCUCGGGAAGGUGUGUUUUUAUUAGCCCAAAACCAAUCGUCUCUCCUCGUGGGUGACGUCAACUUGGUGAACUCAGAAUAACUUUGUUCGGAUCGCAUGGCCUUUGUGCCGGCGACGCAUCUUUCAAAUGUCUGCCUUAUCAACUUGUUGGUUGGUUAAAUGCCAACCAAGGUGUUAACGGGUGACGGAGAAUCAGGGUUCGAUACCGGAGAGGGAGCCUGAGAAACGGCUACCACAUCCAAGGAAGGCAGCAGG